rnacentral:rRNA from 1 species
AUUGAACGCUGGCGGCAUGCCUUACACAUGCAAGUCGAACGGCAGCACGGGUGCUUGCACCUGGUGGCGAGUGGCGAACGGGUGAGUAAUACAUCGGAACGUACCUUAUCGUGGGGGAUAACGCAGCGAAAGCUGUGCUAAUACCGCAUACGCCCUGAGGGGGAAAGCGGGGGAUCGAAAGACCUCGCGCGAUUAGAGCGGCCGAUGCCUGAUUAGCUUGUUGGUGGGGUAAAAGCCCACCAAGGCGACGAUCAGUAGCUGGUCUGAGAGGACGAUAAGCCACACUGGGACUAAGACAAGGGCCAGACUCCUACGGGGGGCAGCAGUGGGGAAUUUUGGACAAUGGGGGCAACCCUGAUCCAGCAAUGCCGCGUGAGUGAAGAAGGCCUUCGGGUUGUAAAGCUCUUUUGUCAGGGAAGAAACACCGGCUCUAACACAGUCCGGGAAUGACGGUACCUGAAGAAUAAACACCGGCUAACUACGUGCCAGCCGCCGCAGUAA